GGAAUGGAAGGUGAUUGGCUGUGAGUUCUGGUCCUCUGUUCCAUGUAUUUCUGAAGGUGAUUUACUAGCUUCAUUAGUGGCCACUCUCCUUCACUGCUCUGUCUGCAGUCCUCAUGAGUCCAUUCUCUCUGACCAAGAGGAUGAUCUUUCAAAUAGAGGAGGAACGUUCUUUGCUCAAGGGUAUACAAGUAGCAGUGCUCUCCCAUUAAAUUCUAAAGCAGAUAAUUUCAAGGUAAAAUGCCUCGAGUAUUCGUUCAAUGUAAAGUAGCAGGGUACCUU
rnacentral:sRNA from 1 species